AGUGACGAUAGCCUAGGAGAUACACCUGUACCCAUGCCGAACACAGAAGUUAAGCCCUAGAACGCCGGAAGUAGUUGGGGGUUGCCCCCUGUGAGAUAGGGAAGUCGGUUAGCUUUAGGGAGUUUAGCUCAGCUGGGAGAGCA
rnacentral:rRNA from 1 species